rnacentral:rRNA from 1 species
AUUGAACGCUGGCGGCAGGCCUAACACAUGCAAGUCGAGCGGAGCGGCGGACGGGGGAGUAAUGCCUAGGAAUCUGCCUGGGAGUGGGGGAUAACGUCCAGAAACGGGAGCUAAUACCGCAUACUAUCAGAUUAGCCUAGGUCGGAUUAGCUAGUUGGUGGGGUAAGGGCCUACCAAGGCGACGACCCGUAACUGGUCUGAGAGGAUGAUCAGGCACACUGGAACUGAGACACGGUCCAGACUCCUACGGGAGGCAGCAGUGGGGAAUAUUGGACAAUGGGCGAAAGCCUGAUCCAGCCAUGCCGCGUGUGUGAAGAAGGUCUUCGGUUUGUAAAGCACUUUCAGUUGGGAGGCGUUACCCACAGAAUAAGCACCGGCUAACUUCGUGCCAGCAGCCGCGGUAAUAC